rnacentral:rRNA from 1 species
UACGGGGGGUGCAAGCGUUAAUCGGAAUUACUGGGCGUAAAGCGUGCGCAGGCGGUUUUGUAAGUCUGUCGUGAAAUCCUCGGGCUCAACCUGAGAAUUGCGAUGGAGACUGCAAGGCUAGAAUCUGGCAGAGGGGGGUAGAAUUCCACGUGUAGCAGUGAAAUGCGUAGAGAUGUGGAGGAACACCGAUGGCGAAGGCAGCCCCCUGGGUCAAGAUUGACGCUCAUGCACGAAAGCGUGGGGAGCAAACAGG